rnacentral:rRNA from 1 species
AUUGAACGCUGGCGGCAGGCCUAACACAUGCAAGUCGAACGGUAACAGGAAGAAGCUUGCUUCUUUGCUGACGAGUGGCGGACGGGUGAGUAAUGUCUGGGAAACUGCCUGAUGGAGGGGGAUAACUACUGGAAACGGUAGCUAAUACCGCAUAACGUCGCAAGACCAAAGAGGGGGACCUUCGGGCCUCUUGCCAUCGGAUGUGCCCAGAUGGGAUUAGCUAGUAGGUGGGGUAACGGCUCACCUAGGCGAGGAUCCCUAGCUGGUCUGAGAGGAUGAACAGCCACACUGGAACUGAGACACGGUCCAGACUCCUACGGGCGGCAGCAGUGGGGAAUAUUGCACAAUGGGCGCAAGCCUGAUGCAGCCAUGCCGCGUGUAUGAAGAAGGCCUUCGGGUUGUAAAGUACUUUCAGCGGGGAGGAAGGGAGUAAAGUUAAUACCUGUGCUCAUUGACGUUACCCGCAGAAGAAGCACCGGCUAACUCCGUG